GACGAACGCUGGCGGCAGGCUUAACACAUGCAAGUCGAGCGCCCCGCAAGGGGAGCGGCAGACGGGUGAGUAACACGUGGGGAUCUGCCCAAUGGUACGGAAUAGCUCCGGGAAACUGGAAUUAAUACCGUAUGUGCCCUUCGGGGGAAAGAUUUAUCGCCAUUGGAUGAACCCGCGUCGGAUUAGCUAGUUGGUGUGGUAAAGACGCACCAAGGCGACGAUCCGUAGCUGGUCUGAGAGGAUGACCAGCCACACUGGGACUGAGACACGGCCCAGACGCCUACGGGAGGCAGCAGUGGGGAAUAUUGGACAAUGGGCGCAAGCCUGAUCCAGCCAUGCCGCGUGAGUGAUGAAGGCCUUAGGGUUGUAAAGCUCUUUCGCCGACGAAGAUAAUGACGGUAGUCGGAGAAGAAGCCCCGGCUAACUUCGUGCCAGCCGCCGCGGUAAGAC
rnacentral:rRNA from 1 species